GUAACGCUGAUCCUCUGGAACUUUGAGGUGUCUCAAACCGGCAUGACCCAGGGCUAGGGAACGGUUUAAAGAGCUUAGUGACCAUGCCAGCCUUAUAUAGCAUCAGCAUCUCUCUCUACCAGGCAUCUUCUUCAGCGCUGAUGCCACAGCUGAUCCUACACAGAUGGAAUGGAAGAAGGUUCAAGGAGAGGCCAGAGCCUGGCUACCAGCCAGUACUGGACUUGAAUCCAAGCUCUGCUCUUUACUAGCAACCUCAACUCCUCACCAGUGUCAUGGGAUUCCUCAGCAUCGCUGUGCUCUGUGUACUGCACAUGGAGACUCUGCUAACAGAAUAGAGGCCUCGCGAGAGGAACAUAACAUGGGUGGUACCUGAGUAAAGUACAAAGAAUGUUACUUCCAGAAGA